rnacentral:rRNA from 1 species
AGCAGCCGCGGUAAUUCCAGCUCCAAUAGCGUAUAUUAAAGUUGUUGCAGUUAAAAAGCUCGUAGUUGAAUUUCGGGAUUUAUCCGUUGGUCGGGCUUUUUGGUCUGUACUGGCGUGAUGGAUUCCUACCUUCUGAAUAACCGGCAUGCCAUUAAUUUGGUGCGCCGGGGAAGCAGGACUGUUACCUUGAAAAAACUAGAGUGCUUAAAGCAGGCUUAUGCCUGAAUACAUUAGCAUGGAAUAAUGAAAUAGGACGCAUGGUUCUAUUUUGUUGGUUUCUAGGAUCACCGUAAUGAUUAAUAGGGAUAGUUGGGGGCAUUAGUAUUCAAUUGUCAGAGGUGAAAUUCUUGGAUUUAUUGAAGACUAACUUCUGCGAAAGCAUUUGCCAAGGAUGUUUUCAUUAAUCAAGAACGAAAGUUAGGGGAUCGAAGACGAUCAGAUACCGUCGUAGUCUUAACCAUAAACUAUGCCGACUAGGGGUCGGACGAUGUUAAUUUUUUAAUGACUCGUUCGGCGCCUU